UGUCGAAAUGUGUCGUGAGGCUAAGGCGGCCCGAAAGGGCUGAAUCGAAUUGUGUUGUAUAGGUUUAUGUCGCGCAUGUGACCCAGGUUAUUUGGGGUUAUAUGGUCAAGCGAAUAAGCGCACACGGUGGAUGCCUUGGCGGUCAGAGGCGAUGAAGAACGCAG
rnacentral:misc_RNA from 1 species